rnacentral:rRNA from 1 species
UACGGAGGAUCCAAGCGUUAUCCGGAUUUAUUGGGUUUAAAGGGUGCGUAGGCGGAUUGAUAAGUUAGAGGUGAAAUGUCCGAGCUCAACUCGGGAACUGCCUCUAAUACUGUUGAUCUAGAGAGUAGAUGCGGCAGGCGGAAUGUAUGGUGUAGCGGUGAAAUGCUUAGAGAUCAUACAGAACACCGAUUGCGAAGGCAGCUUACCAAUCUAUAUCUGACGUUGAGGCACGAAAGCGUGGGGAGCAAACAGG